rnacentral:lncRNA from 1 species
GUAGGCCUUUUGUGCCGAACCACGUAAAUCUUGAUUUUUUUGUCUUUAUUUAUUUAUGCCUGCAAUGUGUUUGGUGAAUUGUCUCAAAGAGAUUAGACUUUAGAUCAAAAGCCUAGGUCGAUCCAAUCCGGUGCGCGUGACCUCAACAGCUCUUGUGUCCCAUCCCAUCAGUAGAUAUUUGUAUCAAGCAUAUCUUGUGUUAUAGCCAUACCAUCCUCCCAAAAUUUAGUGAUUUUCCAUUACAUAUAUUAUUUUCAGCAUACCUCUUUUUAGAUAUUUAAACCAUCCAUGGUUUUAGUUUUACCUUGGGUAUGAAAACAUGGCAAGUAUGGGUCCUCCUGCUUAAUUAGAGAGAGGAAGAUGGAGAGGUAGAGAGACAAGGAGCGGGGAGAUCAUUAAAAAGAGAGUACAUGAGAGCAG